UGCCAGCAGCCGCGGUAAUACGGAGGGGGUUAGCGUUGUUCGGAAUUACUGGGCGUAAAGCGCGCGUAGGCGGACUGGAAAGUAUGGGGUGAAAUCCCGGGGCUCAACCCCGGAACUGCCUCAUAAACUCCCAGUCUAGAGUUCGAGAGAGGGUGAGUGGAACUCCGAGUGUAGAGGUGAAAUUCGUAGAUAUUCGGAAGAACACCAGUGGCGAAGGCGGCUAACUGGCACGAUACUGACGCUGGGCCCCAAAGGCGGGGGAGGCAACAAGAUUUGAUA
rnacentral:rRNA from 1 species